rnacentral:rRNA from 1 species
UACAGAGGUCCCAAGCGUUGUUCGGAUUCAUUGGGCGUAAAGGGUGCGUAGGUGGCGCUGUAAGUCGGGUGUGAAAUUUCGGAGCUUAACUCCGAAACUGCAUUCGAUACUGCGGUGCUUGAGGACUGGAGAGGAGACUGGAAUUCAUGGUGUAGCAGUGAAAUGCGUAGAUAUCAAGUGGAACACCAGUGGCGAAGGCGAAUCCCUGGAAAAUACCUGACACUGAGGCACGAAAGCUAGGGGAGCAAACAGG